UCCAUCACAUUGCUCUACCAUCCCUCAGGGCUGUCUUGUCAUCUUCCUGGUUGAUACAGGGUUGCUAUGGAUCUAACCAGUGGCAAGGGGAAGAGCACUGAGAAGGCAUACGGAGUCUCCAGGACUAGGCCUGGAGGCAGCACAUUUUACUUCUGUUCAGAGUCGAUUGUUGCUUCCAAUGUAAGAACACCCUUCAGAGUAGCCGUUGGUGCCGCUGGAUUCAGUGGAGUUUCGUCACUAGGAAUGUGGGGAGAUCAUCUUCGCAUCUAAGGAUUCAAUCAGGCAAAGCUCUGCAUGGAAUAAAGCAGCUACAUCAUAAGC